CCUACGGGAGGCAGCAGUGGGGGAUAUUGCACAAUGGGGGGAACCCUGAUGCAGCGACGCCGCGUGGGUGAAGAAGCGUUUCGGCGCGUAAAGCUCUAUCAGCAGGGAAGAUAAUGACGGUACCUGACUAAGAAGCCCCGGCUAACUACGUGCCAGCAGCCGCGGUAAUACGUAGGGGGCAAGCGUUAUCCGGAUUUACUGGGUGUAAAGGGUGCGCAGGUGGCAGUGCAAGCCAGGAGUGAAAGCCCGGGGCCCAACCCCGGGACUGCAUUUGGAACUGCAUGGCUGGAGUGCAGGAGAGGCAGGCGGAAUUCCUAGUGUAGCGGUGAAAUGCGUAGAUAUUAGGAGGAACACCAGUGGCGAAGGCGGCCUGCUGGACUGUAACUGACGCUGAGGCCCGAAGGCGUGGGGAGCAAACAGGAUUAGAUACCCUUGUAGUC
rnacentral:rRNA from 1 species